GCAAAGGAGAAAUAAUGGCUAGCCUAACAGACUUGGUCUCAGGAAAUCUCUGACUGGUUGUUAACAUAUUCCCCACUGUGACCUAAGUUUUUGCAUCUUGGAGUGGGGAAUAGUUAACCUAGUCUCACUUUAUAGUAUCUUGGUUUAAUAGAUAUUUGAGGGAGGACAUGCAGUAUGGGAGAAGAAUAAUGAGGUUAUCAAGAAGACAUGAGCCCUGGCCCCAGGUUGGCUUCAAAUAGCUGUGUGACCCUCUUAUCCGAAGUUAUUCACCAGAUAUAGAUAGUUUACUUGUGACAUCUCUAAGUAUAAUUAUAUUGUGGACCAGUGUUUUUAAUAAAGUUGCCUCCCUGUACGUGGGGAAAGGCAGUUCUUACCGGAGUAGUGAUCCAAAAAGAUAGGCCAUUUAUUUGUGAGUCACAGUUGGGCAAGUGAGGUGGGAACAGAAGACUGAUCAUUUGGUGGGGGAGAGGGGAUGAAGCUUGGUGAUCUGGAGAACUAGAAAAUUGAGGUCAUCCUAGUCUCAGCAAGUGAUCAAGGUUGCCAGAAAAGUGCUUUCAUAAGAUUGGAAAAGAAGAUGGUACAAGCAUUUAAAGAUAGGCUGGGUGCUCAAGUAUAUAACAGAGUAGGAGAAAGAGAAAAAAAGAAUAAGAGUAGCUACAAGAGUAGUUGAUAAUUUUUACAUCUGUCUUCAUUAUAUGUACCUGUUACUGCUUUAUUUCUCUGAAAAAAUCAAAGAGUAAGACUUUUUUUUUUUUUUUUUUUAGAUCAGGGUGAGGGAAAUACAUUCUUAAAGUUCAAGCAACUUUGGCUAAAAGCUAUUAUUCUUACCAACAAGCAACUUUGGCUAAAAGUUAUUAUUCUUACCAAAUUUUGCAAAGCAAUUAUUAUAAUUUUUUACUCUUUCAAACCAAAGAUACAUAAUAUAGAGAUUGCUUUAGACAUACAUAAGCCUACAAAGGAAGCAUGUGUUUAGCUGGCAGUCUAAAAAUACCACCAGUAUUAAAAUAUUAAAAAAUUCAUGAUUCACUUCUCUCAUUACAUCACCUUCAGAAAAAGUGUCCAUUUAAUAAUAUUUUCAUGGGAUAAAAUAGGUUUAAAAUGUAAACAAUUUUUUUUAUGAUUCAGUUGUAGUUCUAUGGUCUAGUCCCCAGCUUUUGUCUCAUUGGACAAGUUCUUGAACGGCUGUGAGCCUUGGUUUUCUCAACUGUAAAAUAAGGAAAACAUAUGCACCACCACCACCUCCAGUGAAAGAAUGUUAAGAGAAGGUAAAAGGAAAACAUAAAGAUUAAAUAAAUUUAAACAUGAAGUAGUUUGAUAUUUUACAGAAGUACCAAAGCAACUCAGUGGGAAAGGAAAGUCUUUUCAACAGACAAUGCUAUACCAAUUUGACAUCUAUAAGAGAAAAAAUGAACCUUACCUCACACCAUACAUAGAAGUUAGAGAUGGAUCAUAGACAUAACAUAAAAGCCAAAGCUAUUACACUUUUAGAAGAAGACAUAUAAGAAUAUUCUCACAGCUUGGGGGUAUGCAAAGUUUCUUAGAGAGGGUUUUGAAAGCACUAACCAUGAAAGAAAAAUAUUGAUAAAUUGAACUCCCAAAAAAUUUUGAACUUUUUUUCAUCAAGACACCAUUAAGAUUAUGUAUAAACCACCAGCCAGGAUAAAAUAUUCACAGUACAUGUAUCUUGAUAAAAACUUGUAUUUAGAAUAUAUUAAAAACUCAACAAUGGAAAGGCAGAUAACCUUACAAAAAUAUAUAUAUAUGAAUGGCCAAUAAGCACAUGAUAAAGUAGUCAGCAUCAUUAUUCAGAGUGAAAUGAACAUUAAAAUUUCAGUGAGUUAGCUCUGUACCAGAAUGACUAAAAUUUAAAUGACCACACCAAAUGUCAGGGAGGAUGUGAAGCAACAUUGCUAGUGGAAGUGUAAAAUGGAAGAACCAUUUUGGAAAAGGGCCUGGAAGUUUCUUAUAAAAUUAAACACACCUAUUCUUUGAGCCAGCCAUCCCACUCCUGGUAUUUACCCAAGAGAAAUGAAAGCAUAUGUCCACAAAAAGACUUGUAUUAGACAAUUUAUAGCAGUUUUUAUUCAUUGUUGCCAAAAACUGGAAACAGGAUCGUUGUCCAACAGCAGGAGAACAGAUAAAAAUUGGUAUAUUCAAACAAUGGAAUAAUACUCAGCAAAAGAAAGAAAUUAACUACUGAUGAAACAACAGGAGUCAAUCUCAAAAACAUUUUACUGAGUGAAAGAAGCUAGAUAUGAAAGAGCACAAACUGUAAGAUUCCAUAUAUAUGAAUUUCCGAAUAGGCAAAGCCAACCUAUAGUGAAAAAAAACAAAAACAAAAACAGAGAUUGGCUUUGUGGAAGAGAGAAGUGGAAACUAGGAAAGGAGAUGAGGGGAACUUCUAAGCUCACAGUGUGAUCCAUGUCAUAGUAGGGGAUACACAGGCAUAUGCAUCUGUCAAAACUCAGAGAAUGUCCUAUUUAUGUUCCACGAUUAUUUAACAACACAAAGAACCCUAAGCAAAUAAUGAACUCUAUUAAUGUAAUACAUACCAAUAGAGAUGAAGUGUGUCGAUAUCUUCAGCUUACAGUGAAGGGCAUCAAAAAAUAAGAUGAAUGGAAAGAGGGAUGAAUAGAUAAGGGGCAAGGCAAAUACGGCAAAAUGCUAAUUGUAGAAUCUAGGAUGUUUGCUAUAUAAUACUUUUCAACGUUUCUGUAUGGUUGAAAAUUUUCCUAAUGUUGAGGAAAAUAUAAAUUUUAUAUUUUUAUCUAAAUAGGAAAACCUAUUAAACUUGAUCAAUAGCAGCAUCUGAUGAAGAAGAUAAAACAAUACAUACAAUACAUACAGAGAUCUUCCAACAAACCCACUUGCUCGGGAGGCUGACUGGGAGCUGCAACUUGCUGCCUCUGCCCAACAUCACGAGAGAGUAUUGUACCACAUACCACUAGCCCAGGAAAAGAUCAAAAUUCAAAAUCUGAGGCCUGCUAAGUAGCAUUGAGUGGUGGUUAACAGAAUGGGCUUAAGCCAGACUUACAAGGUUUGAAUCCUGGCUCUGCCACUUUUUAGCUGUGAGACAUUGGGUAAGUUGCUUAAUUUAUUGGUGUUUGCUUUCUGCAUCUUUAUUUUAUUUGAUUUUAUUUAUUUUAUUUUUUGCUUUCUGCAUCUUUAAAGUGCAAUAAUACCUACCCCCAUUAGGUUGUUGUAAAGAAUAAAAACAUUAAUAUAUGUAAGUCUUCAAAUGUUACCUGCAUUAAGUAAAGUGGUAGUUAUUAUCAUUUGCUACCUAUGGUUCAUUGAGUACUUACCUUGCCAUGAAAUCAAUUCUGUCCCAGGUAUGAGAAAGCAGUUAGAUUAAAGACCUUGUUUCUUAUUUAUAUUUUUUAAAUAAUUUUAAUAAAAAUAUUCUUAUAGACCGACACUGUCCAGUAUGGUAGCUACUAGCCCUAUGUAGUUAUUGAACACUUGAAAUGUAGCUAAUUAGAAGAGUAGUGUUGCAAGUAUAAAAUAACUCAGAUUUUAAAGAUUUAGAAGAAAGGCAUUAGUGAAAAUAAUAAAGCAUGUCAAAAGUCCUUCUGUCUGUAAGAGCAACUAAAAACUCUCAAAACUUGUGAGAAUCAACUUUUUCAGAAUUCUGGA